AUGUCACCGACUUGGGGCCGCUCCAGUCGGUCUCGGGCACGUGGAGGUCGUGGACGACGUCAAGGAAGCCGUAGGGCAGCACAAGCAGCUCGGGAAGGCCGUUCGCCAUGGCCACGGCGAGGUGGUGGUUGCGCUCGGCCAAACGAGGGGGAGGAAGAGGGGCGCGGCGAGCUGCUUGGGAGAACGAAGGGAUGA
rnacentral:rRNA from 1 species